rnacentral:lncRNA from 1 species
AGUCCAAUGGGGCUGGGCCUGAGGGACAAGCCAGAGACUCAGUCCCAGAGAGUAGGACUGCUCCCAAUAGCCAGCAGCAGAAUAAAGACACAUCACCUGUCCCCUUUCCCCCUUGGGACACCUCGCAGCAGGGAAAGCACAUGCACAAAAGGGCUGGAGCCACAGCAACAGUGUGGACACAGAGCAAAACCAGACACCUAGUGACUGCCGGCAGCAGGUGCCUCCUGGCAAGGACACAUUACAGUGUGAUUGCUUCACAGCCCGGUUCCAAAGCCACUACUGGUGCCAGGCAAGCAUCAGGACCUGAGUCUGGAUUCCCAGAAUUCACAUACAAGCCAAACCUGGGGCCAGAGGGAUGGUCCAGCAGUUACAGGCACAGAGAGCUCUUGCAGAGGACCCGAGUCUGGUUCCCAGCAUGUAUAUUGGUGGCUCUCAACUGCCCGAAUAACUCAAGCUCCAGGGAUCCCAACAUUCUCUUUCUCCCAGCCUCUAAUGGAACCCAUACCUACAUGCGCAAACCCACACACGGACACACAUGCAUACACCUAAUUUUUUAAAAAUAUUUUUUUAAUAAAAUCAGGUCUUAAGG